rnacentral:rRNA from 1 species
UCCCAGACUCCUACGGGAGGCAGCAGUGGGGAAUACUGCACAAUGGGGGGAACCCUGAUGCAGCGACGCCGCGUGGGUGAAGGAGCACCUCGGUGCGUAAAGCCCUAUCGGCAGGGAAGAAACAGACGGUACCUGACUAAGAAGCCCCGGCUAACUACGUGCCAGCAGCCGCGGUAAUACGUAGGGGGCAAGCGUUAUCCGGAUUUACUGGGUGUAAAGGGGGCGCAGACGGCGAUGCAAGCCAGGAGUGAAAGCCCGGGGCCCAACCCCGGGACUGCUCUUGGAACUGCGUGGCUGGAGUGCAGGAGGGGCAGGCGGAAUUCCUGGUGUAGCGGUGAAAUGCGUAGAUAUCAGGAGGAACACCGGUGGCGAAGGCGGCCUGCUGGACUACAACUGACGUUGAGGCCCGAAAGCGUGGGGAGCAAACAGGAUUAGAUACCCUUGUA